rnacentral:rRNA from 1 species
UGGUGCGAUCAUACAAGCACUACUGCACCGGAUCCCAUUCAAACGCCGCAGUUAAGCGUGCCUGGGCGAGAUAACCUCCUUGGAAGUACUCGUAUUGCGCCCC